AAGGAUCAUUAUUGAAUACGAUUGGUACUGAUGCUGGCUCUUCACUGGGCAUGUGCUCGUCCAUCUAUUUAUCUUCUCUUGUGCACAUCUUGUAGUCUUGAAUGAACCUCUCGCAGUCUAUGCGGUUUGGGAGUUGCUAGCCCUUCUCCUGCUUCUUCAAGGCUAUGUUUUCAUAUACACUAUAAAGUUACAGAAUGUCUUUUAGCGAUUGUGCUUGUCGCAGUCAUUAAACCUUAUACAACUUUCAGCAACGGAUCUCUUGGCUCUCCUAUCGAUGAAGAACGCAGCGAAAUGCGAUAAGUAAUGUGAAUUGCAGAAUUCAGUGAAUCAUCGAAUCUUUGAACGCACCUUGCGCCCUUUGGUAUUCCGAAGGGCAUGCCUGUUUGAGUGUCAUUAAAUUCUCAACCUCUAUCAGCUUGCUGGUAAAGGCUUGGAUAUGGAGGGAUAUAUGCGGGCUUUUUCAAGUCGGCUCCUCUUAAAUGCAUUAGCAGAAUCAUUGUGCUAGCUUAGGUGUGAUAAUUAUCUACGCCUUAAUGCCUGCAUGUCUACGAUUUGGCUUCUAGUCGUCCGAAAGGACAGCAUUCAUGACAUUUUGACCUCAAAUCAGGUAGGACUACCCGCUGAACUUAA
rnacentral:rRNA from 1 species